AUGGAUUCCAAGAUUUGCAGCCAAGAAGGCAAGCUGGGGCUCCAAUCUCCAUUGUUAUGGGCCACGCCCUGCUCGGCUGGGGAGCCACGCGUGUCCCUUCCUCCUUUGAGGGAGAGCGACAGACCGCCUGCCCCCCAUCACAUCCUCCCACCCAAUCUCUCACUCCUCCUGCUUUACCCAGAAGUGCUUUGCUCCGCGUGUGUGUUUCCGCAGGGUUUUCCUGCCGGGGAAGCGAGGAAGGAAGGAAGGAAGGAAGGAAGGAAGGAAGGAAGGAAGGAAGGAAAGAAAGGAGCUGCUUGGGCUCCAAGGGGCGCAUGCUCUCCCUGCCUCCUGGGCGCCUUCCUUGCUCGCUCGCUUCCACUCGCAGGGUUGGCUUUGUCUGUGCGGCUGGCCUUUGGGGACCGGAGGAAGAGGGGCAAUCAAAGGGAGGGGGGUCGGCUAGGAAGGCGGCGCUUGGUGUAUUGUUCGCGGGAAGGGCGGGAGCGACGUGCUCUUGCAAAGGAGGAGGAAGCCGAGCCCCUUCUCCUCCUCCUCCUGCUUCCUCCGCCGGCUGAAUGCGGGCUGCAGCUGCCUUCGGAGAGUGAGGGGCGCCUCUGGGGCCGAGGAGAGGGACAAGGGCGCCCCCGCUCCUCCUCCUCCUCCUCGGGCGCGCCAUGGCGUCAAGCGCGGAUUGCAAUUGAGAGAGAGAGCGAGAGAGGCGCUCAAUUUUGGGGAAAGACCACACAAAAGGGGGGCCUUCCCUUCCGACCGACCAACCCAGGCUUGCCCCUCUUUUGCAUAGGUCCUCCGUCCCUCCUCCUCGGCCUCCUCCCUCCCUUUCCUUUCCCUUCCCUCCGCCUCCAUCCCUCCAAUGGAGAAGAAGAAGAGUUGGAUCCCGGAGUGAAGAAAGCCAGAGCACAGAAAGGAAGAACAAGGAGGAGGAUCCACAUCUAUUUUUGGUCUCGGCGCUGCUUUUGUCUUGUGUCUUGUCCCCCCUACUCUGAUCUUUGCAUUAGGAAGGAAUUAAAAUAA
rnacentral:lncRNA from 1 species